GAGGCGGGAAGAGUAAAUGUCAUGGAGGGAGGUGAGAGAGGCACCAACAAUCUUCUCAGCUGUUCUCACAAUGCGCUGGAGAGUCAUUCGGCAGGACCCAGUGCAGGCCCUGUACCACAUAAUGAUGUUGCUGAGGCUGGUGGAGGUGUGGAGGUGUGGAGUGUGGAAGUGUCCCCUCUAAUGACGUGCAGCUGUUUCUCAUCUGUGGCAAUCAGUGGCUGCUCUUAAGCUCCUGCUCUGGGUCCUGCAAGCUGCCAGUUUGUGCCAGCUUCUCAGCAGUGUCCUGGCUUUCUCCUGUGUGGAAGCUUUCAUAGAAGUUUCAACUGUCUUGUGAUUUUGCUCAUCCUGCUUUGCUCGUCUCCACACUGCUCUCAGCAAUUCCACCACCAACUAUGCAACUCACCAACGUCUGAAAGAACUCUGUUUUCAGGAUCCCUGUCAAGUUCACUCGGUUUUGUAUUAAAAUCCCCUUUACCACUUACA